GUGUCAGCAGCCGCGGUAAAACGUAGGAUCCGAGCGUUAUCCGAAUUCACUGGGCGUAAAGCGCGUGCAGGCGGCACGGUAAGUUGGAUGUAAAAUCUCCCGGCUCAACUGGGAGAGGACGUUCAAUACUGUCGAGCUCGAGGGCGAUAGAGGGAGGUGGAAUUCCCGGUGUAGUGGUGAAAUGCGUAGAUAUCGGGAGGAACACCAGUGGCGAAAGCGGCCUCCUGGAUCGUACCUGACGCUCAGACGCGAAAGCUAGGGGAGCAAACGGGAUUAGAUACCCUCGUAGUCC
rnacentral:rRNA from 1 species